UACGGAGGGAGCUAGCGUUGUUCGGAAUUACUGGGCGUAAAGCGCGCGUAGGCGGCUUUGUAAGUCAGAGGUGAAAGCCCGGGGCUCAACCCCGGAAUUGCCUUUAAGACUGCAUCGCUUGAAUCCGGGAGAGGUGAGUGGAAUUCCGAGUGUAGAGGUGAAAUUCGUAGAUAUUCGGAAGAACACCAGUGGCGAAGGCGGCUCACUGGACCGGUAUUGACGCUGAGGCGCGAAAGCUUGGGGAGCAAACAGG
rnacentral:rRNA from 1 species